rnacentral:rRNA from 1 species
AUUGAACGCUGGCAGCAUGCUUUACACAUGCAAGUCGAACGGCAGCGGGGACUUCGGUCCGCCGGCGAGUGGCGAACGGGUGAGUAAUGCAUCGGAACGUGCCUAUCAGUGGGGGAUAACGCUUCGAAAGGAGUGCUAAUACCGCAUAUUCUCUGAGGAGAAAAGCAGGGGACCUUAGGGCCUUGCGCUGAUAGAGCGGCCGAUGUCGGAUUAGCUAGUUGGUGAGGUAAAGGCUCACCAAGGCGACGAUCCGUAGCGGGUCUGAGAGGAUGAGCCGCCACACUGGGACUGAGACACGGCCCAGACCCCUACGGGAGGCAGCAGUGGGGAAUCUUGGACAAUGGGCGAAAGCCUGAUCCAGCCAUGCCGCGUGAGUGAAGAAGGCCUUCGGGUUGUAAAGCUCUUUUGUCCGGGAGGAAAUCCUGGCCUCUAAUACAGGUCGGGGAUGACAGUACUGGAAGAAUAAGCACCGGCUAACUACGUGCCAGCAGCCGCGGUAACAC